rnacentral:rRNA from 1 species
UACGUAGGGUGCGAGCGUUAAUCGGAAUUACUGGGCGUAAAGCGUGCGCAGGCGGUUCGUUGUGUCGGUGGUGAAAUCCCCAGGCUUAACCUGGGAACUGCGUCGGAUACUGGAUGGCUUGAAUUCGGGAGAGGGAUGCAGAAUUCCAGGUGUAGCGGUGAAAUGCGUAGAUAUCUGGAGGAAUACCGGUGGCGAAGGCGGCAUCCUGGACCGACAUUGACGCUGAACGGCGAAAGCUAGGGGAGCAAACGGG